rnacentral:sRNA from 1 species
UCGCACAAUUGGUCAUCGCGC